rnacentral:misc_RNA from 1 species
UGGGCCAGUCACUUCUAGAUCUUGUGCAUCAUUUCUGUGAUUUGUGUUAUAGUUAAACACGGGGUAUUCUCAAAGUUUACAUGUAUCUUCUAUAAAAAUUGUUAAAAAGUUCUCUUUCCAUCUCUAUCCCUGACCUUGAAAUUACCCACCAUAUUCUCUGGUAUCUUUCUCAUACAAUACUCUUUAUUAUUAUAUAAGGUACAUGUGAACAUACAUGAACUGUGGAAGUAUGUAUAAAUAUUAACUAAAGGUAUUUAA